AUUGAACGCUGGCGGCAGGCCUAACACAUGCAAGUCGAGCGAGCGGCGGACGGGUGAGUAAUGUAUGGGGACUGCCCGAUAGAGGGGGAUAACUACUGGAAACGGUGGCUAAUACCGCCUACUGUCGCAUAACCCAUAUGGGAUUAGCUAGUAGGUAAGGUAAUGGCUCACCUAGGCGACUCUCCCUCGCUGGUCUGAGAGGAUGAUCAGCCACACUGGGACUGAGACACGGCCCAGACUCCUACGGAGGCAGCAGUGGGUAAUAUUGCACAAUGGGCGCAAGCCUGAUGCAGCCAUGCCGCGUGUAUGAAGAAGGCCCUAGGGUUGUAAAGUACUUUCAGUCGGUAGGCGUUACCGACAGAAGAAGCACCGGCUAACUCCGUGCCAGCCGCCGCGGUAAUAC
rnacentral:rRNA from 1 species